rnacentral:rRNA from 1 species
AGAGGGUGCAAGCGUUAAUCGGAAUUACUGGGCGCAAAGCGCGCGUAGGUGGUUUGUUAAGUUGGAUGUGAAAUCCCCGGGCUCAACCUGGGAACUGCAUUUGUGACUGCAUGGCUAGAGUACGGUAGAGGGGGAUGGAAUUCCGCGUGUAGCAGUGAAAUGCGUAGAUAUGCGGAGGAACACCGAUGGCGAAGGCAAUCCCCUGGACCUGUACUGACGCUCAUGCACGAAAGCGUGGGGAGCAAACAGGAUUAGAUACCCUGGUAGUCCACGCCCUAAACGAUGUCAACUGGUUGUUGGGAAUUAGUUUUCUCAGUAACGAAGCUAACGCGUGAAGUUGACCGCCUGGGGAGU